AUAAAAAUUCUUUAACUUAACAUAACUGAUAGGUGAGAAUACUACUUCCAAAGCAGUGAAGUUUAACUUUCUCCUAAUUUAUAUAGGAAAUGUACCUUUCCCCAGUAAUAUGUACUUUGGAGUCACUGUGUGUGCCCAGCUUAAGGUAUAUAACAUCUAUUAUGACAAUAGAUAUAGACUUGAAUUUACAAGUAAUUAUUGGGUGUUCUCAAAAAAUGUUUGCAGGAAAUGGUAGCAUGAUUGUUAACUAUAGAUUGAGAGCUGCAUGGUCUAGGUUAACCACAGAGAUGGAUAUAUACUGUUGGGAUAUUAGGGACAUGAGGAGUCGAGAAUGAGGGAUGAGAAAGAAAUAGAGUGGAUCUAAAGCUUGGGACGUUUUAUUUCGGACAUUAAGUGUUAUUGUCUAAACUUCCGGAGACAUUUUCAUGUCUUUCGGUUAGAUAAUAAGCUUUUUGAAUGAAAGAAACUCCUCGGAGUAGCGGCGUUUUCUCGAUACGAGCAAGUGCAUUUCUGUCAA